rnacentral:lncRNA from 1 species
UUCGCGUUUUACUUCUCUUCUGUGAAUUAGAAGAACAGACUUAUUAAUCAAUUAGAUGUUCUUAAUGUAACACCCCGAACCAGCGUAGCUGAAAUGGUCGGCGAUAUCAUGACACUUGUCUCCAGCCACAAGACCGAAACAAUGUGUCUUUAGGAUCCCAGGACGUCUUAGACAAAAAUCCACCAAUAUGAGCCGAACCUGAAAUGAAAAGGGAAGAAGGAGGGGUGAGCAUUUCGACAAAAGCUCAGUGAGGGAAGCUCUAGGAGCCCCGAAAUCAAUCACCCGACAAUCAACACACAACAUAGCAUAAGCAUCUAACUUUAACAUUCAGUAAAUCAAAAGCAAUCAACAAGAAACGAGGAUAAACCCCGGCGGUGCCAACAAUGAGACCACGCCGCCUAAAUCGGUACCCGCGUUCCUCAUGUUGUCGCGCGAGAACUUUCAUGUUGCGUUGUCUCCACGACAUCCCGCUGUCUCACGCCUUCACGCAAUCAAGUUACCGACACCGGUUCACGCUUGAUCCGCCACCAUGUUCAUACGUUCCACGUUGUUUCCACGACAUCACGCUUCUACGUUACUUUAUUUACAGGCACGCCGCAUGCCCGCUCCGGCGAUGAAUCAUGCCAACUCAAACGAUUGCCACAUGACCCAACAAGAAACGAUAUAAUGCCCGAGACAUACAUAUAUGUCAUUCCACCACGUUACACCGGCACACAUAGGCCUUAAAGCCUUUCUCUAACUCAUUUACAUCUCCCAAUUAUAAAGAUAUCAUCCUCUUAUAUAAUAACCCCA